rnacentral:rRNA from 1 species
UACGUAGGGACCAAGCGUUGUUCGGAUUUACUGGGCGUAAAGCGCACGUAGGCGGCUUUGUAAGUUAGAGGUGAAAGCCCGGGGCUCAACUCCGGAAUUGCCUUUAAGACUGCAUCGCUAGAAUUGUGGAGAGGUAAGUGGAAUUCCGAGUGUAGAGGUGAAAUUCGUAGAUAUUCGGAAGAACACCAGUGGCGAAGGCGACUUACUGGACACAUAUUGACGCUGAGGUGCGAAAGCGUGGGGAGCAAACAGG